rnacentral:lncRNA from 1 species
AUGAAAAAUCAUUCACCGGAUGACACUAUCAAGGAAAAUGUGACAAUAUCCAAUAUCAGGACCAGAAAAAUUAACCAACUUCCAGAGACAGAGAGGAAUCUGCUUGAACAUGGAUUGAUGUAUAUCAGACUUAAUGCUGCUUUCUGUAGCCUAGUAGCACACAGUCUUUUUGGAUUCAUCUUAAAAGCGACAAGCUGCUGGCCUAGCGACAGCAGUGAUCCCAUUUGACUGUACACAUAUCUCAGGAGGGGUUUGUGAGUUUACCUUUGCAGACAGGUGAUGUGAAUUGCGAAACCUGACUAUUACAAGGCAUGGAUUAGCUGGUCUUAUCUCUGGUGGUCUUUACCAUUGUUUUCUGGGCUACACAGGUGAAUGGCAGCCUUGUGGCCAGGUAGGACUCAGCCCUGCUACCAGAGAAAGGAAACAAUUCGCUGGAUUAGAAUUUCUAUGCCUGUCUUUGUAAAAAUGUUAAUUCCCAUUUUGCCCCAGACUGUGUUUGCAGCAAACGUUGGGUCUAGACAAUUAACUGCUUAUAAAGAGCGUUCAAUUGCCUCAAUGUGGCCUAGAAAUUCACC